AAAGCCGCAAUACAGCAACGAAAAGGCAGGAAGUCACAGACAAGCGAAAAAAAAUCCUUGGUUUACAAUGCAAUGUAUGCUGUUUGUGCUUCUCCUUUUUGUUUUCUUGGAUCCUUGAAUAUUUGCACACGUACUUUUUGUUCUUCUGACUAGUUUCAUCGCUUCGAGCGAACACCCCUCUGGAAAAACCUACAUAAUAGAAAUCGGUGUGCAAAGGCUGCCCAUUUAGGUGCUGUAGCCAAAUGAUGUUUUUUGCAGCACGAUUUUGUUUGCCGUCUCGGUUGCAGGCGGACUGGGAGGCUUUUAAGGUCUCUAAGACAGCGACUUUCCUUCUUUGUGGGGCACCCUCCUCCUCAAGGGCAUAUGCUCCUCGCUGUGCUUAGAUGGAUUUCUUUUUUUCCGCGUGUUGCAUUUAUUCCACCACAUUGUAGAUGGUUCUGUUCCUGUAUGUUUGCCUCGCAGUGCUCACCACGACAGAGGGCGCCCUCCUGACCAUAGCCUUUUGAUACAAUGAGCUGCUGUAUCUCGAAGUCUAUCGUCCAUGUUGACGAUGGUCACCAGAAAUUCGAUGCGUUCAUCGGACUAUGCUCCCCUGGAAUGGACCUGCUGGCAAUUCAGUUGGACAACUACUUCGACGGGCUCACUUCGGAGUCCCUCUACACGUCGUGCGUCAGUAGGAAUGGCUACGAGUGUCUCCUUGGAAAUCACCCCAAGGAAUCCAAGGUGAGCUGCAGCAGACAGGCGGCAUCCCAUCACGAGACCGGUCACAAGCCUCUCACCGCUAGCAGCGUAAAUGGCAUCGUGAACGCUUUUUUCGAUUACCUGGUUACUGCGCUGGAGUUGCGCCAGUGGAGCAGCAAUUUCAAUCUCACCCUCACCAAUGCCUUCUCCAG
rnacentral:misc_RNA from 1 species